GGCUCCAAAGAAAAUAAAGCCGCCGGCCCGAGCAGUUCUUCCCCAAAUCGACCAUCCCUCCAACAACCUUACCACCGCCCCUUCCAAACCCUAGAUCUGGGCAGUCCGUUCUUCCCCUUCCCCGUGCGCCGCCGCCCCUACAUCUCUUCCUCUCCCUCUCCGAUGCACACACUCCCUGCUACGGCCUCACAUCGCUGGCCUGCCUUUGGAUGGAACCGUCCUGGCCUAGUCCUUGCCAGAUCUGGCCGCACCGGUCGUCGGUGCUGCUGGAUAUGGCCGCUCCGGGCUUCAUCACCACCACCCCGAGUGUGCACCUCUCCACCGCCACUUUCCCGUCGUCUUCACAUCCGCCUCGCCCAGUUCCAGAGUAGUCGCGUGUCUCCUGAGGAGCCCGACCCCGGCGGCCUCUGUAUGGACUCACUCCACCAUAGCUAAGGCAGCGCCACUGCGUCCAGAACACGGUUCAACCUCCAGAACGCUUGUGGCAAGCACCAGAUCGUGAGUUCAAGCAGGUCAACCGCGAGUUGCAUCUACAUCGACAGGUUCUCUUCUUCUUUGUGGGCCUGCACCUUCCGCGUGGGCUGUGGAGGACAGAUGGCGCUGUGCUGUUCGGGCUGCAACAUGACGGGCAGCGGUUCUACUCAGAGCAGCUCUUUCAUGACAACAGGAAUCUUGCCAUCGAUACACACUGAAAGUCGAAAAUGAUGCUUGUAGAAAUAGUUGUUCUAUCAGCUAUUUAUCAAUUUUAAAUCAUGAUAUUCUUCUCAUGGAAGCCUCAAGCGUGGAAGCUAGCGCACAUGUACACACUCAUUCAGGCAUGAACCAAGGAAAAGUUCACAGCAGAAAACUGAAGCUCUAGCACGCGCGCCAGCCGAUGAAGCUCGCCUUAACUCCAUCGCGCAUCGCUAAGUUGCAGGUCUUCUAUAUACAUCCACAAUCAUGUGGAGGUGUGGUUAAGCUGCGAUCUUUAAAGCAUUGUAAGUAUUUUGACUCUUUGAAUGUUGUUGUUUCACAGGAUGUUGGCAAGUUUGGUAUUUACUAUUUUGAAGACAUCGCAGGAAGUUAUUCAACAAACGGUUGCGACCAAGCAAUUUGUCUUCCUGGACAUGGCUCCUUCUGUGCAUCAAAGCUCAAACCAUUUGUCUAGCUUAGUUCGAAGAAAAAUAAAAUCUUAGUCUUAUGUAAAUUCUAUUUAUUGAUGUAGCUAGAUGCAACUCUACGCACAUAUGUGUUUUGUCAGUUCUGUUUAUUGAUGUAGCUGGAUGUUACUGAACGCAUGUAGGUCUUGUGUAAAUUCUGUUUAUUGAUGUAGCUGGAUGCUACUGAACGCUUGAAUGAAUGUUGAAGUAUUGAUAUAUAGUCAUUAUGUGUAUGAGAUCUGCUA